AUCCCUCUCCCCGAGAUUGAAGUCUGCGCUUUCUUCUUCAGCUGCCACGUUUCACUGGAGCUGGUGGAGGAAGGCGCGCGGAGUGCUAAGGCCCUGAGCUCUUACCACGGCUCUUAUCAGUGCCUCACACGUGCGCUCGGGCGUGGAGAGUUCACACACCCAAUUUCCCAACCACGUUCUUGAUAGCGGGCUUUGUGGACCUCCUGACCCGGAGACAAGUGCUAGGAUGGUAUGACGCUCUGAAUAAGUCAUUUACCCUAUUCUGAGACUGUUUCCUUGUCUGUAAAGUGGGAAGAAUAUUAAAUGAAAUAAUGCGAUUCAAGAUCCCAGAGUGAUGACUGACACAAGAAUAGAAUGCUCUGUGACAGAAAGAGGAAAACCAGGAUCCCAGGAAGUUCUGAGAUACUCUGAACUUCACAGCAGGCUCAGGAGUGCCACGUUUGCUUUGCAGGCUUCUUGAAUGUGCGCAUCUUAAAAUUCACAUCUACAUCCACCUGGGUCAAAACAAGCAAUUCCUACUACCUGUGUCCUUCAACAGCCAGGAAAGAGCUGACACUGCCCUCCUGGCCCUGAUUUUGCUCCUAAGUCAAAUGGUCAGCAAAAGCCUCCCUUCCUGAACAUGAUGGAUGUCCUGAGGCUCCCCACUCCCCAGGCGGCCCUGCCCUCCUGAUGUGGAGGACACAACCCAAGAGGUAGAGGGCUGCAGUUCUCUACCAGACGAGCAAAUUGUUGUGCUCUUGCAGUUACAUGAUCUUACUUUCAAAGAAAAAGGAAAAACAAAAGCAACUUUCAACAGAGCAUUACAACUUUAAAAACCAAUUGCUUCUAGUAGCAAUUCACAGGGAACAGGAGAUUAAAGUGCUGGCUUACUCCAAAGUUGUAUUCUGGCUAUAAAGAGCCCUGCCACAUCUGUGUUUUAUCCCCAAGCUGAUGGGGAGAAGGCAGAGGAGGAAGAAAGAAACCACCUAAAAUGGGAAUCAAAAAGUGGAAUAUUAAAUUGCUGAGAGUCUGUGCAAAUUCCUCUCAAGGUUCCGGUCCUCUAGUGAGCCUAACAGGCAAAACCAACAAAAAGAACUUGCGAAGAAGACAGGCGAGGACUCUAGACUUCACAGACAGCCUCCCUUAAUAAACACUACGGAGCGGGUGAGAGGAUGCGCCUGCACAGGGCUCUGGGCAACGCUGAGGAGGGUCUCGGUGUGAGGAGCCCCUAAACACUGCCAUCCCCACAAGGAGGCUCCCCGGGUGAUGGUCUGGCUCUGGCUCUCAGUGCAGUGAGCAUCACACAGGCUCUGGGGACACCCAGCUCCCUCUGGACCAGGGAGCACUCAGGAGCACUGCCCUGGGACAGGGAAUGGCUUCAUCUAACUUUAAUAAAGGACCUGGAAAAUGAAAA